rnacentral:rRNA from 1 species
UACGGGGGGGGCAAGCGUUGUUCGGAAUUACUGGGCGUAAAGGGCUCGUAGGCGGCCAACUAAGUCGGAUGUGAAAUCCCCAGGCUUAACCUGGGAACUGCAUCCGAUACUGCCCGGCUAGAGGUAGGUAGGGGAGAUCGGAAUUCCUGGUGUAGCGGUGAAAUGCGCAGAUAUCAGGAAGAACACCCGUGGCGAAGGCGGUUCUCUGGGACGGUACUGACGCUGAGACGCGAAAGCGUGGGGAGCGAACAGG